rnacentral:rRNA from 1 species
CCUACGGGUGGCUGCAGUAAGGAAUAUUGGUCAAUGGACGCAAGUCUGAACCAGCCAUGCCGCGUGGAGGAUGAAGGUCCUCUGGAUUGUAAACUUCUUUUAUUUGGGAAGAAACUCCCGAUUUCCAUCGGGAUUGACGGUACCAGAUGAAUAAGCACCGGCUCACUCCGUGCCAGCAGCCGCGGUACUACGGAGGGUGCCGGCGUUAUCCGGUUUCAAGGGGUUUAAAGGGGGCAUAGAAGGGCGGGGUGAAAUCUCCGGGCUUAACCCGGAAACUGCCAUUGAUACUAUUUGUCUUGAAUACUCUGGAGGUGAGCGGAAUAUGUCAUGUAGCGGUGAAAUGCUUAGAUAUGACAUAGAACACCCAUUGCGAAGGCAGCUCACUACGGAAAUAUUGACGCUGAGGCACGAAAGCGUGGGGAUCAAACAGGAUUAGAUACCCGUGUAGUC